rnacentral:rRNA from 1 species
GAUGAACGCUGGCGGCGUGCCUAAUACAUGCAAGUCGAGCGAACGGACGAGAAGCUUGCUUCUCUGAUGUUAGCGGCGGACGGGUGAGUAACACGUGGAUAACCUACCUAUAAGACUGGGAUAACUUCGGGAAACCGGAGCUAAUACCGGAUGAUAUUUUGAACCGCAUGGUUCAAAAGUGAAAGACGGUCUUGCUGUCACUUAUAGAUGGAACCGCGCUGCAUUAGCUAGUUGGUAAGGUAACGGCUUACCAAGGCAACGAUGCAUAGCCGACCUGAGAGGGUGAUCGGCCACACUGGAACUGAGACACGGUCCAGACUCCUACGGGAGGCAGCAGUAGGGAAUCUUCCGCAAUGGGCGAAAGCCUGACGGAGCAACGCCGCGUGAGUGAUGAAGGUCUUCGGAUCGUAAAACUCUGUUAUUAGGGAAGAACAUAUGUGUAAGUAACUGUGCACAUCUUGACGGUACCUAAUCAGAAAGCCACGGCUAACUACGUG